rnacentral:rRNA from 1 species
CCUACGGGUGGCAGCAGUGGGGAAUAUUGCACAAUGGGGGAAACCCUGAUGCAGCGACGCCGCGUGAGUGAAGAAGUCUUUCGGUAUGUAAAGCUCUAUCAGCAGGGAAGAAAAUGACGGUACCUGUUUAAGAAGCCCCGGCUAACUACGUGCCAGCAGCCGCAGUAAUACGUAGGGAGCACGCGUUAUCCGGAUUUACUGGGUGUAAAGGGAGCGUAGGCGGUGAUGCAAGUCAGAAGGUAAAGCUCGGGGCUCAACGCCGGGCCUGCUUUUGAAACUGAGGGACUGGAGUGCAGGAGAGGUAAGCGGAAUGCGUGGUGUAGCGGUGAAAUGCGUAGAUAUCAGGAAGAACACCAGUGGCGAAGGCAGCAUACUGGACUGUAACUGACGUUGAGGCUCGAAAGCGUGGGGAGCAAACAGGAUUAGAUACCCUAGUAGUC